CUUGAUUCCAUAUGGGAGGGGAAUAUACAAGGAUAUGAAUACCAAGAGGGAAAGACUACCAGAGGCCCUGUUGGACGCUGGCUACAAUGGAGCCAACAGAGUCCUGACCCAUACACUAUAGUGACAGAUUUCUUAUCUCAAGGUUGGAUUCUAUACCAUCUUGCCAAGUUCCAGUUUUUAUCUGAUCAUCUUUGCAUCAAUAAUACAUGAGGCUGAGAUCUUCUGAAAAGCAGAUACUUUUUUUCUCACUGAAUGCUUUUCUUUUGCCAGCAAAAAUAUUGAUUUGAAUAUAAUAAUCUGUAGUCCUUUUGGUUUGAUCACACUUAGCAGGAAACCCUAAAAAGAGUCAUGGUCACAUAUCCG
rnacentral:lncRNA from 10 species